CCUACGGGAGGCAGCAGUAGGGAAUAUUGCUCAAUGGGGGAAACCCUGAAGCAGCAACGCCGCGUGGAGGAUGAAGGUUUUCGGAUUGUAAACUCCUUUUGUUAGAGAAGAUAAUGACGGUAUCUAACGAAUAAGCACUGGCCAACUCCGUGCCAGCAGCCGCGGUAAUACGGAGGGUGCACGCGUUACUCGGAAUCACUGGGCGUAAAGAGCGCGUAGGCGGGAUAGCAAGUCAGAUGUGAAAUCCUAGGGCUUAACCAUAGAACUGCAUUUGAAACUGGUAUUCUAGAGUAUGGGAGAGGUAGGUGGAAUUCUUGGUGUAGGGGUGAAAUGCGUAGAGAUCAAGAGGAAUACUCGUUGCGAAGGCGACCUGCUGGAACAUGACUGACGCUGAUGCGCGAAAGCGUGGGGAGCAAACAGGAUUAGAUACCCGUGUAGUC
rnacentral:rRNA from 1 species